rnacentral:rRNA from 1 species
GAUGAACGCUGGCGGCGUGCCUAAUACAUGCAAGUCGAGCGAACGGACGAGAAGCUUGCUUCUCUGAUGUUAGCGGCGGAAGGGUGAGUAACACGUGGAUAACCUACCUAUAAGACUGGGAUAACUUCGGGAAACCGGAGCUAAUACCGGAUAAUAUUUUGAACCGCAUGGUUCAAAAGUGAAAGACGGUCUUGCUGUCACUUAUAGAUGGAUCCGCGCUGCAUUAGCUAGUUGGUAAGGUAACGGCUUACCAAGGCAACGAUGCAUAGCCGACCUGAGAGGGUGAUCGGCCACACUGGAACUGAGACACGGUCCAGACUCCUACGGGAGGCAGCAGUAGGGAAUCUUCCGCAAUGGGCGAAAGCCUGACGGAGCAACGCCGCGUGAGUGAUGAAGGUCUUCGGAUCGUAAAACUCUGUUAUUAGGGAAGAACAUAUGUGUAAGUAACUGUGCACAUCCUGACGGUACCUAAUCAGAAAGCCACGGCUAACUACGUG